rnacentral:rRNA from 1 species
UACAGAGGGUGCAAGCGUUAAUCGGAAUUACUGGGCGUAAAGCGUGCGUAGACGGUUAUUUAAGUCGGGUGUGAAAGCCCCGGGCUCAACCUGGGAAUUGCAUUCGAGACUGAAUAGCUAGGGUGCGGAAGAGGGAAGCGGAAUUUCCGGUGUAGCGGUGAAAUGCGUAGAUAUCGGAAGGAACACCAGUGGCGAAGGCGGGUCUCUGGACAGUUCCUGACGCUGAGGCACGAAGGCCAGGGGAGCAAACGGG